rnacentral:rRNA from 1 species
AUUGAACGCUGGCGGCAGGCCUAACACAUGCAAGUCGAGCGAGCGGCGGACGGGUGAGUAAUGUAUGGGGACUGCCCGAUCGAGGGGGAUAACUACUGGAAACGGUAGCUAAUACCGCAUACUAUCGGAUAACCCAUAUGGGAUUGGCUAGUAGGUGAGGUAAUGGCUCACCUCGGCGACGAUCCCUAGCUGGUCUGAGAGGCUGAUCAGCCACAUUGGGACUGAGACACGGCCCAGACGCCUACGGAGGGAGCAGUGGGGAAUAUUGCGCAAUGGGCGCAAGCCUGAUGCAGCCAGGCCGCGUGUAUGGAGAAGGCCCUGGGGUUGUAAAGUACUUUCAGUCGGGAGGCGUUACCGACAGAAGAAGCACCGGCUAACUCCGUGCCAGCAGCCGCGGUAAUAC